rnacentral:rRNA from 1 species
AGUAAUACAUCGGAACGUACCCUGUUGUGGGGGAUAACUAGUCGAAAGAUUAGCUAAUACCGCAUACGACCUGAGGGUGAAAUGGGGGACCGCAAGGCCUCACGCAGCAGGAGCGGCCGAUGUCUGAUUAGCUAGUUGGUGGGGUAAAGGCCCACCAAGGCGACGAUCAGUAGCUGGUCUGAGAGGACGAUCAGCCACACUGGGACUGAGACACGGCCCAG